GAUGAAGAACGUAGCGAAAUGCGAUAAGUAAUGUGAAUUGCAGAAUUCAGUGAAUCAUCGAAUCUUUGAACGCACAUUGCGCCCGCCAGUAUUCUGGCGGGCAUGCCUGUUCGAGCGUCAUUUCAACCAUCAAGCCCCGGGCUUGUGUUGGGGACCUGCGGCUGCCGCAGGCCCUGAAAUGCAGUGGCGGGCUCGCUGUCACUCCCAGCGUAGUAGUUACAUCUCGCUCUGGGCGUGCUGCGGGUUCCGGCCGUUAAAAGCCUUAUUUACCCAAGGUUGACCUCGGAUCAGGUAGGAAGACCCGCUGAACUUAAGCAUAUCAAUAAGCGGAGGA
rnacentral:misc_RNA from 1 species